AUUGAUGGAGAGUUUGAUCCUGGCUCAGGACGAACGCUGGCGGCGUGCUUAACACAUGCAAGUCGAGCGGGGAGCUUCGGCUCUCAGCGGCGAACGGGUGAGUAACACGUGGGCAACCUGCCCCGAGCUCUGGAAUAACCUCGGGAAAC
rnacentral:rRNA from 1 species